rnacentral:rRNA from 1 species
AUGCACGCUGGCGGCGUGCCUAAUACAUGCAAGUCGAGCGAACGGACGAGAAGCUUGCUUCUCUGAUGUUAGCGGCGGACGGGUGAGUAACACGUGGAUAACCUACCUAUAAGACUGGGAUAACUUCGGGAAACCGGAGCUAAUACCGGAUAAUAUUUUGAACCGCAUGGUUCAAAAGUGAAAGACGGUCUUGCUGUCACUUAUAGAUGGAUCCGCGCUGCAUUAGCUAGUUGAUAAGGUAACGGCUUACCAAGGCAACGAUGCAUAGCCGACCUGAGAGGGUGAUCGGCCACACUGGAACUGAGACACGGUCCAGACUCCUACGGGAGGCAGCAGUAGGGAAUCUUCCGCAAUGGGCGAAAGCCUGACGGAGCAACGCCGCGUGAGUGAUGAAGGUCUUCGGAUCGUAAAACUCUGUUAUUAGGGAAGAACAUAUGUGUAAGUAACUGUGCACAUCUUGACGGUACCUAAUCAGAAAGCCACGGCUAACUACGUG